rnacentral:RNase_P_RNA from 1 species
GCGCCAGACGAUCGCAUGCGCUUUGGCGCAUGAGGAAAGUCCGAGCACCACAGGGCAGGGUGCCGGUUAACUGCCGGUGAAGGCGACUUCAAGGAAAGUGCAACAGAGAUAUACCGCGUAAAGGCGGGCUCACCUUCGGGCGGGUUCGCCCCCCUUCGGGGGACGCAAGGAUGGAAAGGCGAGGUAAGAGCUCACCCGCGGCUUGGCAACUUGUCCGCGCUGUAAACCCCACCUGGUGCAAGAUUGAUAGGGAAGCAUGGGCGGUGAUCCUUCGGGGUCCCGACCGGCGAUGGCCCGUCGCGCUUCCGGGUAAUCGCUUGAGCCUGCUGGCAACUGCAGGCCCAGACAGAUGAUCGUCCAAUACAGAACUCGGCUUACAGACG